rnacentral:lncRNA from 1 species
AAUUAUAUCUACAUAAUUAUUCAUAUAAUCUAAGUUUAUUAGAAUUCACAUGUAUGUUUUUGCUAUACUAAUUCAAACAGAUUCAUUGUUUUGAUCACUAAACAACUCUAUGCAAUAAAAAUGAAUAACAUAAUAUUGAAGUAUUUUAAAAAAUAAAAGAAAAAAUGUUUACUGGGGCGCAGUCGAGAAUAGAGAACAGAGAAUGCAUUCCUCGCCCCACUCCCAUUUAGGUUUUGAGGAAUAUUUUUCGUCAGCCCCACCUCCAUUCCCCGUUUAAUUGGAGAAUCCUCGCUCCAUUCGGAAAGUCUCCAUGAAGAAAGUUGACAUCUUUAGUUAGAUUAUCAAAAGAAGUAUCUAAGCAAGACCUUGUCAAGAGGAAGAGAAAUUUUGAAAUACCAGAAGCCUCAUACUAAUGAGAG